rnacentral:rRNA from 1 species
UUAAGUUAAUAAGGGCGCACGGUGGAUGCCUUGGCACUAGGAGCCGAAGAAGGACGUGACAAACGACGAUAUGCCUUGGGUAGCUGUAAGUAAGCGAUGAUCCAGGGAUUUCCGAAUGGGGGGAACCCAACAGGUACUACCUGUUACCCACAUCUGUUAAGGAUGUGAGGAGGAAGACGCAGUGAACUGAAACAUCUAAGUAGCUGCAGGAAGAGAAAGCAAAAGCGAUUGCCUUAGUAGCGGCGAGCGAAACGGCAGAAGGGCAAACCGAAGAGUUUACUCUUCGGGGUUGUAGGACUGCAAUGUGGACUCAAAGAUUAUAGAAGAAUGAUUUGGGAAGAUCAGCCAAAGAGAGUAAUAGCCUCGUAUUUAAAAUAGUCUUUGUACCUAGCAGUAUCCUGAGUACGGCGGGACACGAGAAAUCCCGUCGGAAUCUGGGAGGACCAUCUCCCAACCCUAAAUACUCCCUAGUGACCGAUAGUGAACCAGUACCGUGAGGGAAAGGUGAAAAGCACCCCGGGAGGGGAGUGAAAUAGAACCUGAAACCGUGUGCCUACGACAAGUUCGAGCCCGUUAAUGGGUGAGAGCGUGCCUUUUGUAGAAUGAACCGGCGAGUUACGUUAUGAUGCGAGGUUAAGUUGAAGAGACGGAGCCGUAGGGAAACCGAGUCUGAAUAGGGCGAAUUAGUAUCAUGACGUAGACCCGAAACCAUGUGACCUACCCAUGAGCAGGUUGAAGGUGCGGUAAGACGCACUGGAGGACCGAACCAGGGCACGUUGAAAGUGCUUGGAUGACUUGUGGGUAGCGGAGAAAUUCCAAACGAACUUGGAGAUAGCUGGUUCUCUCCGAAAUAGCUUUAGGGCUAGCGUCGACAUUAAGAUUCUUGGAGGUAGAGCACUGUUUGGGUGAGGGGUCCAUCCCGGAUUACCAAUCUCAGAUAAACUCCGAAUGCCAAUGAAUUAUGGGUCGGCAGUCAGACUGCGGAGUGCUAAGAUCCGUAGUCGGAAGGGAAACAGCCCAGACCACCAGCUAAGGUCCCAAAAUAAUUGUUAAGUGGAAAAGGAUGUGGGGUUGCACAGACAACUAGGAUGUUAGCUUAGAAGCAGCUAUUCAUUCAAAGAGUGCGUAAUAGCUCACUAGUCGAGUGACCCUGCGCCGAAAAUGUACCGGGGCUAAAACAAUUUACCGAAGCUGUGGAUACCUUUAUAGGUAUGGUAGGAGAGCGUUCUAUGUGUGAAGAAGGUGUACCGUGAGGAGUGCUGGAACGCAUAGAAGUGAGAAUGCCGGUAUGAGUAGCGAAAGACAGGUGAGAAUCCUGUCCACCGUAAGACUAAGGUUUCCAGGGGAAGGCUCGUCCGCCCUGGGUUAGUCGGGACCUAAGGAGAGACCGAAAGGUGUAUCCGAUGGACAACAGGUUGAUAUUCCUGUACUAGAGUAUGUAGUGAUGGAGGGACGCAGUAGGCUAACUAAAGCAGACGAUUGGAAGAGUCUGUCUAAGCAGUGAGGUGUGAUAUGAGUCAAAUGCUUAUAUCUAUAACAUUGAGCUGUGAUGGGGAGCGAAGUUUAGUAGCGAAGUUAGUGACGUCACACUGCCAAGAAAAGCUUCUAGCGUUUAAACAUACUCUACCCGUACCGCAAACCGACACAGGUAGUCGAGGCGAGUAGCCUCAGGUGAGCGAGAGAACUCUCGUUAAGGAACUCGGCAAAAUGACCCCGUAACUUCGGGAGAAGGGGUGCUGACUUUAAGUCAGCCGCAGUGAAUAGGCCCAAGCAACUGUUUAUCAAAAACACAGCUCUCUGCUAAAUCGUAAGAUGAUGUAUAGGGGGUGACGCCUGCCCGGUGCUGGAAGGUUAAGAGGAGUGCUUAGCGCAAGCGAAGGUAUGAAUUGAAGCCCCAGUAAACGGCGGCCGUAACUAUAACGGUCCUAAGGUAGCGAAAUUCCUUGUCGGGUAAGUUCCGACCCGCACGAAAGGCGUAAUGAUUUGGGCACUGUCUCAACGAGAGACUCGGUGAAAUUUUAGUACCUGUGAAGAUGCAGGUUACCCGCGACAGGACGGAAAGACCCCAUGGAGCUUUACUGCAGUUUGAUAUUGAGUGUCUGUACCACAUGUACAGGAUAGGUAGGAGUCUAAGAGAUCGGGACGCCAGUUUCGAAGGAGACGUUGUUGGGAUACUACCCGU